CCCCUAGAUGUUCUGGGCCGCACGCGCGCUACACUGAACAGUUCAACAAGUCUUAACCUUGGCCGAUAGGUCUGGGUAAUCUUUGAACGCUGUUCGUGAUUGGGAUAGACCUUUGCAAUUAUGGGUCUUCAACGAGGAAUUCCUAGUAAACGCAAGUCAUCAGCUUGCAUUCAUUACGUCCCUGCCCUUUGUACACACCGCCCGUCGCACCUACCGAUUGAAUGGUCCGGUGAAAUCUCGGGACGGCGGCUUGGUCGCUUGCGUCCGACUGCUGAAACUUGAUUAAACCAUAUCAUUUAGAGGAAGGUGAAGUCGUAACA
rnacentral:rRNA from 1 species